ensembl:lncRNA novel transcript
AAGAGAGGCUGAAGAUGGAAGAGGACAGAGGAUGGAGAAACAAUUAAGAAGUUAUGAUCAUAAUUUCCUUCAGAGAUGAUGAAGACACAAACUCAUUCAACACGAAUUGAGAUAAACAGGAAGAAAUAAAACUGAGAUUGAAGUAGAGACUGCAUAAUGACCUUGAGAACAGGGAGUAUAAGAGAGAAAGAAGGUUAGUUGCUUUUAAUCAAUGAAAGAUAAGACUUUCACCUCACUUCACUGAAAUAGACUUGGAUGUCUACUUGGAUA